rnacentral:piRNA from 1 species
UGGCCAGAACAGAAAUCUAAAGGAUGCUUGGU